GGAAGGAUGCCCGAGUGGUAAGGGUCCCGUUUCGAAAACGGCGGACUGGUGGAAGAAGCCAGCGUGGGUUCGACCCCCACUCCUUCCG
rnacentral:tRNA from 1 species